GAGACCGCUUAUCGUCAAAGCUCGGAUGAAGUCUGCUUGCAAUAGGAGUUUGGAGUAGAAAUCCGGCUGCUGGAGCCCAUCCGUUGUAGAAGUUCGUCUGGAAUCCAUCCGCUGCAGAAGAUCGGACGGAGUUCGGUUCUUGUAGGAGUCCGAAAGGAGGUCGCUUACUGUAGAAGCUCAGAUGGAGACCGGUUGCUGUGGAAGUCCGGA
rnacentral:lncRNA from 1 species